rnacentral:snRNA from 1 species
CAUCAGUUUAAUAUCUGAUAUGGCCUCCAUCCGAGGACAAUACAUUAAAUAGAUUUUUGGAGCUGUAAGAUGGAAUAGAAGCUUGCUCUAUUCACUCCACACACUGACCUGAUAUUGUAGUACCUCCAGAGCGGGGU